CGAGACAUGUCGUCAUUUCACCUGUGUUUUAUCAACGGACGACAGUGGAAACGUUGUCGGAACACAGACUCAGGACGAGCAAGGGUGUGCGGGAAUAAACAACCCUAAGACUUGUCAUGAGGUGGGCGACACUUGGUUGGAGUUUUCCCGUAUGGACAGGACUUGUUUGCAGUACACAUGUACGACGAAAGGACCGACUGUACAGGUUCCAAAAGGAGCAUGCUUCCAUGAGGGAGAGUGUCUUAAAAAUGGAGAGGAACAUGAUGAGGAACAUGCACAAUGUUUCUGUAGGGACGGGGACCUUU